rnacentral:sRNA from 1 species
AGCAGCCGCGGUAAUUCCAGCUCCAAUAGCGUAUAUUAAAGUUGUUGCAGUUAAAAAGCUCGUAGUUGAAUUUCGGGGUCAGUAGGUCGGUCGUGCCACAGGUAUGCACUGGUCUCACUGAUUCCUCCUUCCUGAUGAACCGUAAUGCCAUUAAUUUGGUGUUGCGGGGAGACGGGACUGUUACUUUAGAAAAAUUAGAGUGUUUAAAGCAGGCUAACGCUUGAAUACAUUAGCAUGGAAUAACGGAAUAGGACGUUCGAUCUUAUUUUGUUGGUUUCUAAGAUUGACGUAAUGAUUAAUAGGGAUAGUUGGGGGCAUUAGUAUUCAAUUGUCAGAGGUGAAAUUCUUGGAUUUAUUGAAGACUAACUACUGCGAAAGCAUUUGCCAAGGAUGUUUUCAUUAAUCAAG